rnacentral:rRNA from 1 species
UACGGAGGGGGCUAGCGUUGUUCGGAAUUACUGGGCGUAAAGCGCACGUAGGCGGCUUUGUAAGUUAGAGGUGAAAGCCCGGAGCUCAACUCCGGAGGGUCGGUGGAUACUGCCAGUCUUGAAGGUGCUAGGGGGAGAUGGAAUUACCGGUGUAGCGGUGAAAUGCGUAGAUAUCGGUAGGAACACCAGUGGCGAAGGCGGUCUCCUGGGGCAUUCUUGACGCUGAGGCGCGAAAGCUGGGGGAGCAAACGGG